rnacentral:rRNA from 1 species
UACGAAGGGGGCUAGCGUUGCUCGGAAUCACUGGGCGUAAAGCGCACGUAGGCGGACUCUUAAGUCGGUGGUGAAAUCCUGGAGCUCAACUCCAGAACUGCCUUCGAUACUGGGAGUCUCGAGUUGGGAGAGGUGAGUGGAACUGCGAGUGUAGAGGUGAAAUUCGUAGAUAUUCGCAAGAACACCAGUGGCGAAGGCGGCUCACUGGCCCGAUACUGACGCUGAGGUGCGAAAGCGUGGGGAGCAAACAGG